CAAAUGUCAUAUAUAUAAUUUCACUUUUCAUUAUAAAGAUCAAAAUAAUCAUUGCACACUUCAUAUGUAUAGUUCCAAAUCAUCAUGAGUUAAAACAUCAUAAUUUUUUUACGUCAUCAAAGAGUACAAUUGACUUCUCCCUCUUUGUCAUCAACAAAAAUGAGAUAUGUGCAAGUUUUUACUUCUCUUUCGAAUAUGCAAG
rnacentral:lncRNA from 1 species